UGCUAAAUUUUUCUAUUUAUUACAAUAUGUAGUUGAUCAGAGACAGAUUUCAUACAUCACAAGUUGUGAUAUUAUUAUUAUUUUCUUUAUUUUUUUUUUAUUUCCUUUUAAAAUAUGUAAAUUUUCUUGUUUGUUAUUAAAAAAAAAAAAAAAGAAAAGUAAUCAUGUCCGAAAAUUUAAUUGAGUAUUUAUUCUAGCUGGCCUAAGUUAUGGCAAUUUAUUUAUAUUUGUUGAAAACCUCAUUCAUCACAUAUGUAUCCAUAGUAAUUUCUACAAUUUCCGCUGUACAGCGGUCAUAGACUCAUAGACUCGUAGACUCGUAGACUCGUAGUAUCACAGGAUGUCUUAGUUAUGGCCAUGGAAGCUGAAUCCUUGCUGACCAACUCAUCACAAGGAAACCAAUAUUUCCAGAAAAGAUCUAAAUUUGCCGUAAAAAGGAUACUUCAAGAACUUCUUGUGCAGUGAAAAUUAAUAAGUGAAAAAUUUGAAUAAAGUGUACGGAGGCCUCCUCACUUCAAUACACCAGGUAUUUACGAAACAACCAAUAUUAAUUUAUGGAAAGUUCACAGGCAACUACUUCGCAAAAAUAAAUGGGACAGGAUAAUAAAUAAAUUUGUAAUUACUUGAUUUAAAUUUUGUUUAUUUUUUGGAAAUUCUAUUUAUUUGAUCUAUUAUGUAUAUUAAAUUGCAAACAUGAUUACAAUCU